GUGGGGAAUCUUCCGCAAUGGACGAAAGUCUGACGGAGCGACGCCGCGUGAGUGAAGAAGGCCUUCGGGUCGUAAAGCUCUGUCAUCAGGGACGAACGGCCGGUGGAGUGGAAAGCCACCGGAUUGACGGUACCUGAGAAGGAAGCCACGGCUAACUACGUGCCAGCAGCCGCGGUAAUACGUAGGUGGCAAGCGUUGUCCGGAAUUAUUGGGCGUAAAGCGCGCGCAGGUGGGAUCUUAAGUCCAUUUUUAAAGUUCGGAGCUCAACUCCGUGAUGGGAUGGAAACUGGGAGUCUUGAGUACCGGAGAGGAAAGCGGAAUUCCCCGUGUAGCGGUGAAAUGCGUAGAUAUGGGGAGGAACACCAGUGGCGAAGGCGGCUUUCUGGACGGUGUCUGACACUGAGGCGCGAAAGCCAGGGGAGCGAACGGGAUUAGAUACCCCUGUAGUCC
rnacentral:rRNA from 1 species